rnacentral:rRNA from 1 species
GACGAACGCUGGCGGCGUGCUUAACACAUGCAAGUCGAACGGAAAGGCCCUGCUUUUGUGGGGUGCUCGAGUGGCGAACGGGUGAGUAACACGUGAGUAACCUGCCCUUGACUUUGGGAUAACUUCAGGAAACUGGGGCUAAUACCGGAUAGGAGCUCCUGCUGCAUGGUGGGGGUUGGAAAGUUUCGGCGGUUGGGGAUGGACUCGCGGCUUAUCAGCUUGUUGGUGGGGUAGUGGCUUACCAAGGCUUUGACGGGUAGCCGGCCUGAGAGGGUGACCGGCAAAAUGGGGAAUGGGUAACGGCCCAAACCCCAGCGGGGGGGAGGGGGGGGGAAUUUUGCAAAAAGGGGGGAGGCCGGAUGCAGGAACGCCGGGGGGGGGAGAGCGGCCUUGGGGUGUUAAACCCCUUCCGCCUGUGGAGAAGCGUGGGGGGGGGAAAUGGGAAAAGAAGCACCGGCAAAUUAGGU